rnacentral:rRNA from 1 species
AGGGUUUGAUUAUGGCUCAGGACGAACGCUGGCGGCGUGCCUAACACAUGCAAGUCGAGCGGAGCCAACCGAGAGAAGCCUUCGGGCGGAACUUGGUGAAGCUUAGCGGCGGACGGGUGAGUAACGCGUGAGUAACCUGCCCAUAAGAGGGGGAUAACAACCGGAAACGGUUGCUAAUACCGCAUAUAGAUACUGUAUUGCAUGAUAUAGUAUUGAAAGAUUUAUCGCUUAUGGAUGGACUCGCGUCCGAUUAGCUGGUUGGUGAGGUAAAGGCUCACCAAGGCGACGAUCGGUAGCCGAACUGAGAGGUUGAUCGGCCACAUUGGGACUGAGACACGGCCCAG